rnacentral:rRNA from 1 species
AUGCAAGUCGAGCGGUAACAGGUGUAGCAAUACAUGCUGACGAGCGGCGAACGGGUGAGUAAUGCUUCGGAAUCUGCCCAAUGGUGGGGAAUAACCAGCCGAAAGGUUGGCUAAUACCGCAUAAGUCCUACGGGGGAAAGCAGGGGAUCGCAAGACCUUGCGCCGAUGGAUGAGCCGAAGUCGGAUUAGCUAGUUGGUAGGGUAACGGCCUACCAAGGCGACGAUCCGUAGCUGGUCUGAGAGGACGACCAGCCACACUGGGACUGAGACACGGCCCAGACUCCUACGGGAGGCAGCAGUGGGGAAUAUUGGACAAUGGGGGAAACCCUGAUCCAGCGACGCCGCGUGUGUGAAGAAGGCCUGCGGGUUGUAAAGCACUUUUAGUGGGGAUGAAAAGCUCAGGGCUAACACCUCUGGGUCUUGACCUAACCCAAAGAAAAAGCACCGGCUAACUCUGUGCCAGCAGCCGCGGUAAUACAGAGGGUGCGAGCGUUAAUCGGAAUUACUGGGCGUAAAGCGUGCGUAGACGGUUAUGUAAGUCGGGUGUGA